AUUGAACGCUGGCGGCAUGCCUUACACAUGCAAGUCGAACGGUAACAGGUCUUCGGAUGCUGACGAGUGGCGAACGGGUGAGUAAUGCAUCGGAACGUGCCCAGUAGUGGGGGAUAGCCCGGCGAAAGCCGGAUUAAUACCGCAUACGACCUGAGGGUGGAAGGGGGGGAUCGCAAGACCUCUCGCUAUUGGAGCGGCCGAUGUCAGAGUAGCUAGUUGGUGGGGUAAAGGCCUAACAAGGCAACGAUCUGUAGUUGGUCUGAGAGGACGACCAGCCACACUGGGACUGAGACACGGCCCAGACUCCUACGGGAGGCAGCAGUGGGGAAUUUUGGACAAUGGGCGCAAGCCUGAUCCAGCAAUGCCGCGUGCAGGAAGAAGGCCUUCGGGUUGUAAACUGCUUUUGUCAGGGAAGAAAUCGUCUGGGUUAAUACCUCGGGAGGAUGACGGUACCUGAAGAAUAAGCACCGGCUAACUACGUGCCAGCAGCCGCCGUAA
rnacentral:rRNA from 1 species